rnacentral:rRNA from 1 species
UACAGAGGGGGCAAGCGUUAUUCGGAAUUACUGGGCGUAAAGCGCACGUAGGCGGCUUUGCAAGUCAGAGGUGAAAGCCCGGGGCUCAACCCCGGAAUAGCCUUUGAGACUGCAUCGCUAGAAUUGUGGAGAGGUAAGUGGAAUUCCGAGUGUAGAGGUGAAAUUCGUAGAUAUUCGGAAGAACACCAGUGGCGAAGGCGACUUACUGGACACAUAUUGACGCUGAGGUGCGAAAGCGUGGGGAGCAAACAGG